CAGGGCGGUUUGAUAAGUCUGAAGUUAAAGGCUGUGGCUCAACCAUAGUUCGCUUUGGAAACUGUCAAACUUGAGUGCAGAAGGGGAGAGUGGAAUUCCAUGUGUAGCGGUGAAAUGCGUAGAUAUAUGGAGGAACACCGGUGGCGAAAGCGGCUCUCUGGUCUGUAACUGACGCUGAGGCUCGAAAGCGUGGGGAGCGA
rnacentral:rRNA from 1 species